UGGCCGAGGUGGAAGAGAGAGAGAGAGGGGGGGAAGGAGACUCCAUAUUCAAACCAGGUAGCCGUUACCUGCAAGAAAGUAAUCUGUGAGUGGAAAAACACCAUAUUCCCCUGUAACAUUUCUUGCUUCAUUACCUGAUACCAAGUUACAGGUUGAAACCUUGUCACCUGUAAGGUUUCUCUCACAAAUACCAACUGUAGGAAAGUUACAGGCAUCCAAACGGCCCCUAAAUAGUAAAUUCUUGUGGGUGUGGUAAGAGCGGUAAUGGCUGGAGUUAGAACUUACAUUCUCAAGUCAUUCUUCUCUGGCCCUAGUCUUUCUUCGAAGAUACGAUCCAUUCAUCCAUACAGUUCUUCUAUGGACUUUCCAAAACGUCCUUUCCAGAAUGUUCCGAUAUCAUCGGGUUUAAAUAUGUCCGAUACAUACCACACAAAAGGGUAUAUAGGCCAAACCCAUAUUAGAACGUUGUCUCUUUCAUCUCUCGUAGAUAUUCAGCAUUUCAAGAUUGAUUCUGUUGUACCUUCAUCCAGACAUUUACAUAGCAGCAGGCUGGUAAAAAAUACAUCACACCAUCGAAUUGCUUUAUUCCCUCUGUGCAUAAAUGGCAUGUCAUUUCAUCGAACAUAUUCAUCAGAUAAAGCGGAAGUUUCAACCACAGCCAUUGCAGGCGAAUCAACUGUUGAUAACACCAAUGUAGUCGGAAGUGAUUGGGUUGAUAGUUUUAAGAUUGCUUGGCAUUCUGCUGUAGAUGCUGCAGCUUAUACAGCAAAUAAGGCUAAAGAGGCAUCCGACGAACUCAUUCCUUAUGUUAAACAGUUGGUUGACUCUCAUCCAUAUCUGGAAGAUGUUAUCAUCCCAGUUGGUGGGACUGUGUCUGCUACACUGUUAGCUUGGCUGGUCAUGCCCAAGAUUCUAAGGAGAUUACACAAGUACUCAAUGCAAGGAUCUGCUGCAUUACUAUCUAGCAAUCUGCCUCUUGAACAAGUUCCAUAUGAAAAAAGCUUUUGGGGUGCCUUGGAAGACCCUGUGAGAUAUCUAAUCACCUUCAUGGCAUUCUCACAGUUAGGUGUGAUGAUUGCGCCCACCACAAUUGCGUCACAAUACAUUCCACAAGCUUGCAGAGGAGCAGUUAUUCUUGCAUUUGUAUGGUUUCUGCAUAGGUGGAAGACAAAUGUAUUUACCCGUGCUCUAGCCACCCAAAACAUAACUGGGUCUGAUCGAGAAAGGUUGCUAGCCUUAGACAAACUCUCAUCUGUGGGUCUCCUUGCACUAGGAUUGAUGGCUUCAGCUGAGGCUAGUGGUGUGGCUGUGCAAUCCAUUUUGACCGUUGGAGGCAUAGGAGGAGUGGCAACUGCUUUUGCAUCCAGAGACAUCCUAGGGAAUGUGCUCAGUGGGGUGUCUAUGCAGUUCUCCAAGCCCUUUUCAAUGGGUGAUACUAUAAAAGCUGGAUCUAUAGAAGGUCAAGUGGUGGACAUGGGACUAACAACUACAUCCUUACUGAAUUCUGAGAAGUUUCCUGUCAUAGUACCGAAUUCAUUAUUUUCCAGUCAGGUGAUUGUGAACAAAUCCCGUGCUCAGUGGCGUGCUAUGGUGACCAAAAUUCCUGUUCGUAUUGAUGAUCUGGAGAAGAUUCCCCAGGUGUCAGAGGAUAUAAAGUACAUGCUGAGAUCUAAUGCAAGAGUUUUCCUUGGACAGGAGGCCCCUUAUUGUUUCCUUUCUCGAAUAGAGAACUCAUAUGCAGAACUGACCAUUGGAUGCAAUCUCAAGCAUAUGAGCAAAGAUGAGUUAUUCUCUACAGAACAAGAUAUUUUGCUGCAAUCAGCCUGGAUAAUCAAGCAACAUGGUGCUGAGCUUGGUAGCACCUACCGAUAAUUUACCAAUCAGACCGUCGCACGGGGAAGGUGGUUCUGCACAGGCUAACUAAACUUUUGAAGCAAAAGUGUUCAUUUGGAUGAAUCCGGACUAUGGGACACAAGCUGCAAGUUGGCGACGGUUGCAGUUGAGGUAAUUCCCAGCCAACCCAACAUACCAGUUUCAGAUGGACUUUUCUGUUCAUGUUCACGGACAAGAAGCACAAGUGAACUGUUUUGUACUGAUGCAAAGGUACCCAGGUUUAGUGCCAUGUUACUGGUACAGUUUUGCUGAUUUUGUAUCUGAAUUAACAACAGAUUGAUGGUUUGAAAGGUGAGACUUGCCCAGCUCCAUUUCACAGCAAGAUAUGUAACUCGAAUUCAAAUAGCCCGGAGAGUGAAUAUUCUGCCUUUUGAAAGGAUCAUGUAAGAAUAGCUAGUAGUUAGUUCCUUGGUUCAAUAUCUUGUCUGUUCUCUUAGGAAAUUUGUUGUCAUUGUGAUAACCAAGUAAUGCUCAGCGAUUAUUUUGUUUGAAAGAAUUGUUCUGGUUUGCUCCCCUGCCAGAGUCAUGUACUUGUGCUGUUCAAAAAUCAUGUACUAGUUUUGGAUGA